rnacentral:misc_RNA from 1 species
CCGUGGUUUACUUGGUGAGCAGCCCUCUCAUCGGCGUGAGCUUCAGGAUGGUUCCGUGGCAAGUUUCGAGGAUGUAAAGGCCAAGACAAAGUGGAAGUCCUCAAGAUCGGAGCUUAAGCCUGGGUCUCUUGUCCUCAUAAAAGAAAAAGCUCUUCCGCCUCUUCUUUGGUGUUUGGGAAGGGUAAUCAAGACAUAUCCGGGCAGCGAUGGGAUUUCUAGAGUGGCCGAAAUCCGGACCAAGGGUGGCACCAUUAGAAG